UACGUAGGGUGCGAGCGUUGUCCGGAAUUACUGGGCGUAAAGAGCUCGUAGGCGGUUUGUCGCGUUGUUCGUGAAAACUCACAACUCAAUUGUGGGCGUGCGGGCGAUACGGGCAGACUGGAGUGCUGCAGGGGAGACUGGAAUUCCUGGUGUAGCGGUGGAAUGCGCAGAUAUCAGGAGGAACACCGGUGGCGAAGGCGGGUCUCUGGGCAACAACUGACGCUGAGGAGCGAAAGCGUGGGGAGCGAACAGG
rnacentral:rRNA from 1 species